UGGCGUUUUAGUAGCAGCGGCAAAAGAAGCAAUGGUGGUCGCGUCGGUGACUGUUUGUGAUGGGGGAAGCGCUGCAGCUACUCUUAUGCGUCGUUUUGCUUGCCUUACUUGCCACGUUUUUCUGAUUCGAAUCUGAUUCCAGGCCAGGUCUGGGCAAGCAUGUAGCUCUUUGGUCGAUAUCAAAAAGGGACCUAGAACGAAGAAGUGAAUGCGAGUUUGUUCUGACCAGCCUUCGAUUGGAGUGUGGUGUGAUGAUAGCACAAUGGCGGAAGGAAGUUAGUUGAGGAAACGAUGGCACGACCUAUUGGGCACGAAUACAUAGAUAUGAACGCAGGCAAACAGUUGGUACAGGAUGUCGACCUCAAUAAAGACAGCCUGCAGGAUCGUGUAUACUCCAAAUGCAUGCCAAAUCUACGUAGGUUGGCCGGUCUUUCAUUCAGUCAAUGCUUGAGGUGUAUCUGGAAUUAUUGGACGUCCUUCCUGCCGAAUUGAAAACUAGGUCUUGGUACUUUUAAGCUGACAAUUAUACGACCCAAAUACUCGUAUCGGGUGGAACAAAUGGUUUGGAAAAUGUCGUUAUGAG